GACGUAGGGAGCGAGCGUUGUCCGGAUUCAUUGGGCGUAAAGGGCGCGUAGGUGGCCGAGCAAGGUCGCGGUGAAAGCCCGGGGCUCAACCCCGGGUCGGCCGUGGCAACUACUUGGCUUGAGCACUGUAGGGGCGGGUGGAAUUCCGGGUGUAGCGGUGGAAUGCGUAGAUAUCGAGAGGAACACCUGCGGCGAAGGCGGGUUGCUGGGCUGACACUGACGCUGAGGCGCGAAAGCUAGGGGAGCGAACGGG
rnacentral:rRNA from 1 species